rnacentral:rRNA from 1 species
GACAGAGGGGGCAAGCGUUGCUCGGAAUUACUGGGCGUAAAGAGCGUGUAGGCGGCCAAGCAGGUCCGUUGUGAAAACUGGAGGCUUAACCUCCAGACGUCGACGGAAACCGCGUGGCUAGAGUCCGGAAGAGGAGAGUGGAAUUCCUGGUGUAGCGGUGAAAUGCGCAGAUAUCAGGAAGAACACCAAUGGCGAAGGCAGCUCUCUGGGACGGUACUGACGCUGAGACGCGAAAGCGUGGGGAGCGAACAGG